rnacentral:rRNA from 1 species
AGUGAACGCUGGCGGUAGGCCUAACACAUGCAAGUCGAACGGCAGCACAGUAAGAGCUUGCUCUUACGGGUGGCGAGUGGCGGACGGGUGAGGAAUAAAUCGGAAUCUACUUUUUCGUGGGGGAUAACGUAGGGAAACUUACGCUAAUACCGCAUACGACCUACGGGUGAAAGCAGGGGAUCUUCGGACCUUGCGCGAUUGAAUGAGCCGAUGUCGGAUUAGCUAGUUGGCGGGGUAAAGGCCCACCAAGGCGACGAUCCGUAGCUGGUCUGAGAGGAGGAUCAGCCACACUGGAACUGAGACACGGUCCAGACUCCUACGGGAGGCAGCAGUGGGGAAUAUUGGACAAUGGGCGCAAGCCUGAUCCAGCCAUACCGCGUGGGUGAAGAAGGCCUUCGGGUUGUAAAGCCCUUUUGUUGGGAAAGAAAAGCAGCAGGUUAAUACCCCGCUGUUCUGACGGUACCCAAAGAAUAAGCACCGGCUAACUUCGUG